rnacentral:rRNA from 1 species
UACGAAGGGGGCUAGCGUUGCUCGGAAUCACUGGGCGUAAAGCGCACGUAGGCGGCUUUCUAAGUCAGGGGUGAAAUCCUGGAGCUCAACUCCAGAACUGCCUUUGAUACUGGGAAGCUCGAGUCCGGAAGAGGUGAGUGGAACUCCGAGUGUAGAGGUGAAAUUCGUAGAUAUUCGGAAGAACACCAGUGGCGAAGGCGGCUCACUGGUCCGGUACUGACGCUGAGGUGCGAAGGCUAGGGGAGCGAACGGG